GCUCACCAAGGCGACGACGGGUAGCCGGCCUGAGAGGGCGACCGGCCACACUGGGACUGAGACACGGCCCAGACUCCUACGGGAGGCAGCAGUGGGGAAUAUUGCACAAUGGGCGAAAGCCUGAUGCAGCGACGCCGCGUGAGGGAUGACGGCCUUCGGGUUGUAAACCUCUUUCAGCAGGGAAGAAGCGAAAGUGACGGUACCUGCAGAAGAAGCGCCGGCUAACUACGUGCCAGCAGCCGCGGUAAUACGUAGGGCGCAAGCGUUGUCCGGAAUUAUUGGGCGUAAAGAGCUCGUAGGCGGCUUGUCACGUCGGUUGUGAAAGCCCGGGGCUUAACCCCGGGUCUGCAGUCGAUACGGGCAGGCUAGAGUUCGGUAGGGGAGAUCGGAAUUCCUGGUGUAGCGGUGAAAUGCGCAGAUAUCAGGAGGAACACCGGUGGCGAAGGCGGAUCUCUGGGCCGAUACUGACGCUGAGGAGCGAAAGCGUGGGGAGCGAACAGGAUUAGAUACCCUGGUAGUCCACGCCGUAAACGGUGGGCACUAGGUGUGGGCAACAUUCCACGUUGUCCGUGCCGCAG
rnacentral:rRNA from 1 species